GCUAAAGUUGUUGAUAAACAAGCAAUUAUUUUAAUAAGUAAAUAUGGUCAUUUUAAUUGAAUUAUUAUGAUCAUUUAAAAUUAAUGAUUUCAAAUAUGUUUAUUUUAAUGUAUAAUUCUAUGGCUGGAUGUAAUAAGGAGUCAGAAAAAAUACAAAUAAAUUAAUUUUGAUGUUUUUAGCAAAAUAUAGUAAAAAUUUUUUUUUUUUUUUUUUUUUUAAUUUAUUCAAUGUAUUUAUUUUUAGGUAAGAUAAACAUAAUAAUAACAUUUAUCUCUAGUCUGGAUGAUUUAUUUCUCGUCACCCUGUUGUCCUCCCGUCAUAAAGAAAAGGCUGUCCUCACUCAGCUCCGGCUGAAAAUCGGGAGAUUUUCGGGAGAAUAUUUGUCCCGGGAGGUUUUCGGGAGAGGCGCUGAGUUUCGGGAGUCUCCCGGAAAAUUCGGGAGGGUUGGCAAGUAUGAAAGACAUUCAAUUGUGAUU